rnacentral:lncRNA from 1 species
UUUUUUUUUUCUAGUCAUAGUCUUGUCUAUUAGAUGUCUUUUAUUAUUUUGUAUCUUUUUAUGAAAAAAAUUAUAAAUUUGGAUGAAUUCCAAUUGUUCAAUUUUUUCUUUUAAGGUCAGUGCUUUUCAUGUUCUGACCAAGAAAUCUUUGCCUUCCUAAUAGAUACUCUGUGGCCUAAAAGAUACUCUGUGUCCUAUACAAUUUAGGUUCUGCUUUUUACAUUUAGAUCUAUUUAUUUCAAAGCGAUUUUUUUUUUAAACAGGUAAAAAGCUGUAUAUUUUAGUCUACAUCCUGAUGAGUUUAAGCAUACCUCCAUGAAACCAUCAUCACCAUUAAGGCCAAAAACAUAUCCAUCAUCUCCUGUCUCUAUUAUUAUUAUUAUUAUUUUCAAAUUGACUUUUGUCUUGUGGAGUGGGGUAGCCAUUGAGAUUCAUUUUUUUUCCCUCCAAUAUUCCCUUUAUCCAUUUGUUAAAUAUGCUUUCCUUUUCCCCAUUGAUUUGAUUUGACUUAGUGCCUUGCCUUAUUAUUUAAAAAUUAUUAUUCUUUAAAUUGCUAUAAUCCUCUUUUGUUUGUGUAUACCUCACAUGAAGAACCUCCUGUCUCAGUACCCUUCUGUGGAAGAGCUGGGCUCAGGUUGAGGAGAAUGGAAGAACCUGACAGCUCUUUCCCACCCAUGAGGAGCUGACAACCCAGCCAGGAGAUUGAAGGUUCUGACUCGUGACAAGGACAUGUGGAUUCUCCUAUUCGGAGAGACACAAGUGCAGGAAGGAGUGAUUGAAACCAGUUGCCCACAUGCAGGCUAUGGGAGGCCUUCCCAGGCAGCAUGUUCACGAACAAGAUCUGAGGGUCCUAAUGGGCCACAAGCUCAACCCAAAUCAAGAAUUUAUGGUAACAAGCUCUCAACUGCUGUCUCCAUGGUAUGCGCGGUUUCUACUGUGUCCAGAAGAGAGGAAGGUCCUUCCCCCAUAUAUCUCUUACCUUCUGCUCUGCUCAGCCCUGUGCUAGGGUCUCUGGCUCAUCUCUGGGAGUGGAACAGAGCAGAUGGGAACAUGUGGAGGGACUACAGGGCUGGGAGAGCGCCAAGAGCCCUGUCCGUGAAGGGCUGGAGAGGGUGGGUCUAAGGCCCAAAAGGAAGAGCUGGGACACUUCUAUCUCCCAGGGAGGCACAGGGAGGUAGGCCCCAGCCCUAGGGAGAAAGUUUUAUCCUAGAUGUGGACUGUCCAGCCUGUCAGAAGGAUACCCAGGGAGAGGGGUUUCCCCUGAACAGGCCCCUCGCCACUGUGGUGCCUUGUUCAAAGGCUCUGAGACUUCCAUCCCUCCACGCCAAGCUCCUUGGACAAGAAAGGACACCUUUGUCCUUGAGCUCAAAGGCCCAGACAAGGACCCAGCCCUUCCAGGCUAUUUACGCAGGGACACCUUGUUUCCUUGCAGUCCCUGCGCUGAGCGGGAGGCCCAAGGAAGCUCUGUGGAAUGUGCCGCCAGCCCCCAGCUCUGUCUGGAAUUUCAUGGGGACAUUUUGCAGUCACUAAACUUAGCACCAGGGCCUGUGGGCUCUGGGUAGGCCCAAGUGUGCCAGGGCUGAGAAUGAAUCAUAGAGUGAGUUGGCAGGACAAAACUCAGAGGCCAGGCUCUGGGGACUCAUCUCAUCCUGGGGAGCAGAGGGCCUGGGCUGGCAUCCUUGAACCCCUGGGACUCCUGAGAUAUGUCCUGUCCUAUUCCCCUUGGUCCAGAUAUGCAGGCCCAACCCCCCUGAAAAGGGUCCAUAUACUCUGGGGAGAGCAUCUGAUCCAUCCUCUACUCCACACAUCACACACAGGUUUACUGAGGGCCUACUAUGUCACAAGAGCCCUGCCACACCCCUGAGAUGCUGUGGGGAUUUGACAGGAAGACUCUUGCCCUCUGGAGUCAGAGUCUCCUUAGGCAGACAGACAGGUUCAGCCAAAGGAGGCUGUGGGGGCUGGGAGGAGGAGCCUCCACCUGGGAAAUCAAGGGGGGCUUCCCAGAGGAGGGAACAUCAAAAUAGAGACCUGGAGGUGGAGGGAGAACUCUGCUUGGGAGAGGGGGGAAAAGCUGUUCAAGCAGACAGGACUGGAGGGACUCUGGUGAUGAGGGGCAGUCCCCUGAUGCCCAGCCCAGCUGCUUCCCAUGACAACUUGAUGCCACUCUGACUUUUUGCCUGCUCCUGGGACAGUCAUGUAAGAGGAAGAGAGCACUCUUUGGACAGGCUUGGCCUGGAAUCCCGACUCCCAGUGCCUGGCUGUGCGACCCUGGGUAAGCCAGCUCAUCUCUCUGAGCCUCAAGUUUCCUUUUCUGUAAAAUGGGGGGAACAGCAGGUCCUCUUUCCUAGGGUCAUGGUGAGCGAUAGUGAUGUGCAUGCGCAGGUCACUGUGCCUGACUCUGAGCACACCCGGUAAAGGGAAGUGUUUCCGUCCGGCCAGUGGCUUCUACCCCCUUCAAUCGGGCCUCCUAAGGGGGAGCAGCCCUCCUCUGAAGCCCUGCCCAAGUCCCGGCCCAGGGAGCCCCACCCCCCCACGCCCGACCGGAAGCAAGCUGGCCUGGUGCUGACAAGGUUUCCAAAGUGCAGGGAAGGUUGUCCAAAUACCUGGAUUGGAGCCACUGUCCAGCUCCACAGCCUGCCCAGCUCCCAGGGGACAAAGAAGGUCAGCCUCUCUUCUGCGGCCAGCAGCUGUCAUUGACAGUCCCCAUGAGCUGCCCUUGCUCUCUCCAACAUGGAUGUGGCCCUGGUGAUGGCCAGACUUCCGAUGGUCAGGGACAGCUUUCUGCUGCCUUUACCCUGGGGACUGGCAUGCACCACUGACCCACAUCUCCCAACUGGUCCCAUGAGCUUACACAGGCCUGAAGCAGGGGCCUGGGAGACAUUUUGCCUGUGCUCUCUGCCUGCUCCAGCAGAAUCUCUGGGUGGAAGGUGGGAGGUUGGACCCUGCCCAGUGCCCAACCUCCUCCUGGGCAGCUGGCCUCAGGGAACUCUGACUUGUCAUACAUUCUCUGGGGCCACUACAUUUUUAUUUUUAGGAUUUAUUGAGUACUUCCUGUGUGGUCCUGAGUUAUCUCAGAAAUCUUCUUACCCUAACAACCUGGGGGUCAGGAUUAUCCCUUGGUUUACAGAUGGGUGAUCACACGCAGAGAAGUGAAGCAGCUGCCCUGAGGUCACAUAGCCAGGAGGGGGCAGGGCAGGAACAGCAUCCCGUCUGCUGAUUCUCAAGCUACCUGAACCCAGGUGAGGACUAAGCAGGGCACCCAGCCACUGCGCUGCUGUGGGAAAUGGUUGACACCAGCCAGAAAGAGGCAGAGACCAGGCUUGAACCCAAGCCUUCAAACUGAAUCUGAGGACUGUACAGAGCCAGGCUGCUCUUGGGGCCAGACUGUGGAACUAGUUCUGAUCCUGCCCUGUGGCCAGCACCUGUAGCACACACAGUGAAUGCAUCACAAACAGGGUGGAAUGAAUGGAAGCUGGAGGGGGUGAGUGGAGAUCCCUAGUCAGUGCCCCUGGCUGAGUGACUGGAACAGACACUAAUAGGUCAAACUGCCCAUUCUUACUGUCAUGUUCAAACGGCACCCCUCCCACUGCUGUGCUGGCUGGCAGUGAUUGGUCUGGGGGUUGGUAACAACUCGACCAAUCACAGCCUACAUUCCCUGGUCAACGGUGAUUGGCCCAGGCAUAAGAAAUCUAAAUUAGGCCAAUGAAUCCCAACCCAGGAAUGUUUUUUUUUAUUUGGGACUCAGAAGGUUGAGUUCAGAUGCUGCAAAAUGUGAAACUCAGGGGCUGGAGCAAUUAUGUUUUCAUUUAUCAAGAUGCAGUGAAAGUGACAACAAUUGUGUCCAUUAGGAUAGCUUUCACCAGCAAGUCAAAACAAAUCUGGCCGCCAGUGGCUUAAUAAAUACACUUACAUUUUUCUCAUAUAAUAAACCUAGAGGGAGGUGACUACAGGCAUUGGUUCAGUCACUCAAUGAGAUCAGAGCUGGAAUUUUGUGAUUUUCUUGCCUUGUCCUCCUGGCUAUAAGAUGGGUACCAUCACUCUAGGCAUCAUGUCUGCAUUCAAGGAAGAAUGAAGAGGAGGAAAGCUAGGCCAGCUAUAAAUGAUCCCUUUUAUCAAAAAACUCAGCAACUUUUCCAGAACCCACAGCAGAUGUCUGCUUAUGUCUCAUUGACCAAAACUAUGUCUCCUGGUUGCAGUGAAGAAAGCUGGGAAAGAGCAUUUAGCUGAGCACUUUGCUGGACAAAAUCAGGGCUCUUUUAAAUGAAAAGGGAUGCUGGGUGGACACUUGCCCACCUCUACUCUGUGGCAGUCCUCACAAAGCAGAGAUGAGUGAUUCACAGAGGGCUGUAGUGGCACUUGGUGCCCAAUUCUUGUUUUUGGUUCAGCUUUGCCUUGGAUGUUGUGAUGUCUUAAACUCUACAUUUGGGUCGAGCCAUUUUGGAUGGUUCUAGAAGUCAGUGAACACGUGACCCUGACUCUCUAGAAACAUGCUUAUCACAUCCCAUCAUCUUGCCUGGGCUCCUUGCAUCCAUGCCAACCACUCCAGGCUCUUUGCAGAACAGCAAGAAGGACCUUUUCUACGACCAGGAUCUGACCCAUCAAUUGUUGGGUGUCACACCCUCCAGUGAUUCCUGUCGCCUUCAGGAUGAAGGCCAACACCCCUGCUGCAUGACCAUGUGCAGGCUGGCAUUGCCAUCUUCUCACACCUAGUUCCCUAGCUCCUUUUCUUCCAAAUAAAAAUCCCUGAUUUUUUAGCUUGGGAAAUGAAGUGACCUUUUUCAAGGUUUGUUAGUUCAAUAGAAAUAAGUGGUCUUUUAAAAAAAUUAAGCUGAGGAUCAUUUCUAGAGUUAUGUGAAAGAAUAGAAUGUGUUUGGGAUUUUUAAGGAACUCAGAAUUCUUGGCUUGUUUAGUUUUAAAAAACACAUCUAUCUCAAGUCAGGUAGGGUCAAACAGUCUUUCUGAAUCCUACAGCAAAGAGUGAACAGCCCAUCACCAGGCCCUGCUGUCUAAGGUCCCUUGGAAUCUAACUGUAACCAUCUCUGCAGCUGCAGGGGCUGGUGGGCUGGUAGGCUGGCUCCCUGGAAGAGGAAAAGGCCUGACUUGCAGUACUAGCCAGUUUCCGUGGUGCACAGGUGUCCACUGGUGGAUUCCAAGCUGUCGGGUGACAUCACGCAGAGCUGGAAGGAGAUGUGCAUGUCGGCUGUCAGGAGCCAGUCAGGCCAGGCUCUGCCAAGGGCUCCGACCUGGACACAAGGCCCCGAACAUGCUGUGCAUGUUCCUCCUCUAGACCUUUCUUGAUGCCAUCCCCUGGUCUGGAAUAGCCAUUCAUUAAUUCAUUCAUUCAUUCAACAAAUACCUCUUGAGUGCCUUCUGUACAUCAGGCACCAGGCCUGUGCCAAGCAAUUUUCUCACUGAAGGCUGAGCUCAGCCCUUUAGCAGGUGCUAGAGGAAUCCCCACUGUGCUGAUGCGGUAAUUGAGGCUGGGUCAUGUGAUACACCCAUCUGGAUCAUGGAACUGGAGAGUGGAGAGGCAAGGAUUCAGGCUUUGCCUGCGUGACUCCAGCCUGGUACUUAAGCAUGCUAGUCUUCUGCUCUUUCUCUGUCUAAUGAACUCCUGUUCACCACUCAAAUGUUACCACCUCUCUGAAGCCCUCUCUGGCCCCUGAUAGACUUCUUAUAUCAAAACAUAUUUAGAAAGGAUGUGAUAGAGAAGUGAGUGGGGGUGGGAGGGAGAUGUGCUGGGGACCAAGAGAGGGGAGAGAAACAGCCUAGGAGAUGACUGAGGGAGAAAGCAAGGAAGAAGAAAGCAAGAAAGGAAAAGCAGCUAAUGAGAUACUACAUGGCUGCUGAAGAUGUUCCAUAGAUCAGAAACUGAAUUGCGAGUCCUCACCUGCCUAGUGAAACAUGCUACUUGGGAGUUGCAGGUUCAAGUUACCACAAGGGCCUUACAGGGGACAAGGAUGAGUGAGGCUGGACAGACUUACACAGCAUAGGGACUGGUGGAGAUGGUGCCCUGUCUCAAGGGGCAACCCUGGCUCAGGUCCGGGUGACUGUGGCUGGAAGAGCCCAGUCCACCCUCUGCAGCCCAGCUCACUCAUCACAGCCAGUCUGUUUGUUUACUCCCCGGAUCAGGUGCAGGGGGAGUGCAGCCAGCUGUCUGAUGGGCUACAGGUGAGACAAGUGAGGGCACAAAAUGUAAAGAGCUAUCCACCACUCACUCUCUGAUUCUUGGGGGAGGUUCAUAGAAAUCCAGGGGGGGUUAGGGUGUAAACCAAAUCAGAGAACCAGAAGGCAACACCUUCCAACUACACACACACACACUUAUGCACACGUGUGCAUGCAAGUGUACACAUUUUUGACUGAUGGGAAAACUGAGGCCCAGAGAUUGAGAGAAAAAGGCCUUUGUCUUUGCUGUUCCCUCUGUCUGGAGGGGGAACCUCAGUACUUGGACAGCCAAUGGACAGUCAGGACUGGAGGCUUCAGUGGCUCUUUGCUUCCUGGCUAUGUGGCCCUAGGCAGGCUGCGUUAGCUGCUCUGGACCUCCUUUCCUCUUCUGUAUCAUGAAGAUAAGACCUCCACAAGGAGAUCCUGCUGAAUAGCAUUGAGAACUAUGUCUAGAUACUCAUGUUGCAACAGAAGAAAGGGUGGGGGAAAAAACUGUAACUGCAAUGUAUACAUCUAAGGAUAACCUGACCCCCUUGCUGUACAGUGG